rnacentral:rRNA from 1 species
GAGUUUGAUCCUGGCUCAGGAUUAACGCUGGCGGCAUGCCUAAUACAUGCAAGUCGAUCGGGUGUAGCAAUACACUAGAGGCGAACGGGUGAGUAACACGUAUCCAAUCUACCCCAUAGUGGGGGACAACKGACCGAAAGGUUAGCUAAUACCGCAUAAUAAAUGCAUUAUCGCAUGAGAAGCAUUUUAAAGGUCCGUUUGGACCGCUAUGGGAUGAGGGUGCGGCAUAUCAGCUAGUUGGUGAGGUAACGGCCCACCAAGGCGAUGACGUGUAGUUAUGCUGAGAGGUAGAAUAACCACAAUGGGAUGAGACACGGCCCAUACUCCUACGGGAGGCAGCAGUAGGGAAUUUUUCACAAUGGMUGAAAAAGUYUUGGAUGKGGGAAGCCCC